ensembl:lncRNA
CUUCCUUAAUUAUUAUCAUUAUUAUUAUUAUUAUUAUUAUUAUUAUUAUUAUUAUUAUUAUUAUUAUUAUUAUUAUUAUUAUUAUUAUUAUUAUUAUUAUUAUUAUUCCGCUUUAACGCUUGGGCGUUGGAAAGGAUUCUGAUUGGACAGGGUAGUGUUGUAGUACUCGGUCUCGGUCUCGAGACCGGUCUUGAGACCACUUUUUGAAGAUCUCGGUCUUGUCUCGCACUCGACCGCAUUUUUACUCGGUCUUGUCUCGGUCUCGGGCACAGAGGACUCGGGAUUUUUACUGCGAGACCAGCCGAGACCAGCCGAGACCAUGGCUUCACCGACAGCACUGAACUACCUCUCAACUGUCUCGUUUGUUCAGUAAAAGCUUUAUUGUGAUUGGAUGCAAAACUCCCCGCCUCGAAUGUAACCAAUAACUUAACUGAUUUUUAAUUUGGAUUAUUUUUACGGGCUGUGACCUGUCACCUACCCCGCCCCUCUUCACACGUACUCCGCUACAGUUAAUGCGGGAGGCGGAAGAAGGAGUCUGCUCCCUGGGGAAGAUGUCAGCUAACUCUGCUGUAAUAAAGUUUGGCUUUUUUAACCAUAAACAGUUUAUCUGUAAAUCAACGUGAAAAAGAAAACACAGCGCUAUAUGCAAAUUCUGCAACGCAACGCUCACUGAGGCGGCUGGAACCACAUCAAACUUUUAUCGACACUUGGAGAGGAAGCAUAAAGAAAGGUGGUCUCGACUACAACACGAGGACAGGGAGUGGACGUGACGUAUCCCUGUUUACCGGAAGAAAACAAACUCCAUUUGCCACGGCAUUUCUUUUCCCCAACAACAUGGAGGAACAACUAAUAAGCACGCUUUUCGCUUUGCUUUUUAUUGUCGUUUUGAAACAGCAACUCGACAAUGGCGUACUACUUCUGUUGCGUCACUUGAGAAGGAGACGAGAGAUAGAAUACCUGAGAAGGGAGGCAGAAGACCAAGCUGUGUACGUCGCUACGCCAUCGCUACGUGAGGAGCCA